rnacentral:rRNA from 1 species
AUUGAACGCUGGUGGCAUGCCUUACACGUGCAAGUCGAACGGUAACAGGUCUUCGGAUGCUGACGAGUGGCGAACGGAUGAGUAAUACAUCGGAACGUGCCUAGUAGUGUGGGAUAACUACUCGAAAGAGUGGCUAAUACCGCAUGAGAUCUACGGAUGAAAGCAGGGGAUCGCAAGACCUUGUGCUACUAGAGCGGCCGAUGGCAGAUUAGGUAGUUGGUGGGAUAAAAGCUUACCAAGCCGACGAUCUGUAGCUGGUCUGAGAGGACGAUCAGCCACACUGGGACUGAGACACGGCCCAGACUCCUACGGGAGGCAGCAGUGGGGAAUUUUGGACAAUGGGCGAAAGCCUGAUCCAGCAAUGCCGCGUGCAGGAUGAAGGCCUUCGGGUUGUAAACUGCUUUUGUACGGAACGAAAAGCCCCGGGUUAAUACCCUGGGGUCAUGACGGUACCGUAAGAAUAAGCACCGGCUAACUACGUGCCAGCCGCCGCAGUAA